GGCUCAAUGGUCUAGUCGUAUGAUUCCUGCUUUGGGUGUUCACAAUUGCAGGAGGUCCCGGGUUCAAAUCCCGGUUGAGCCC
rnacentral:tRNA from 1 species